UUAAAAACAGUAUAAGAUUAUAUCAACUUUGGGAGUUGAAGGUUAGUGGAAACUAUUUUUAAA
rnacentral:tRNA from 1 species